CCUCUGUAGCUCAGUUGGUUAGAGCGCUGCACCGGAAUCGCUGGGCCGUAUAUAGGUUCAAUUCCUACCAUGCAGAGGA